AGGGCACCACCAGGAGUGGAGCCUGCGGCUUAAUUUGACUCAACACGGGGAAACUUACCCGGCCUGGACACUGGAAGGAUUGACAGAUUGAGAGCUCUUUCUUGAUUCAGUGGGUGGUGGUGCAUGGCCGUCCUUAGUUGGUGGAGCGAUUUGUCUGGUUAAUUCCGAUAACGAACGAGACUCUAGCCUAUUAAAUAGGCUCCCGGCUUUUAAACGCCGGGAGGACUUCUUAGAUGGACAGGUGGCGGUUCAGCCGCACGAAAGAGAGCAAUAACAGGUCUGUGAUGCCCUUUGUUGUCCGGGGCCGCACGCGCGCUACACUGAAGAGAUCAGCGUGCUUUAUGUUCCUGCUCCGACCGGAGUGGGGAACCCAGUGAACCUUCUUCGUGAUUGGGAUAGAAGAUUGUAAUUAUUCGUCUUGAACGAGGAAUUCCCAGUAAAUGCGAGUCAUAAGCUCGCGUUGAUUACGUCCCUGCCCUUUGUACACACCGCCCGUCGCUACUACCGAUUGAACGAUUU
rnacentral:rRNA from 1 species